GGAGGCGUUUUCGUCGGCUACAAGCGGGAGACGGACGCGACGGUUCGAGCGGAGAGCUUCGGGCGGGGGCGGUGACGGAGGCGGAGGUGGGUUGGUGCGCGUGAUUCCGGCAAGUAUCUUCCUUAGUAGUGGCAGAUAGAACCGCUAGUUACAUGUUCUGUUUGGGUAGAAGGAUUGAAUGAGGAAGAGGAGCUAAUCGAAAUCUGGAAUUUUUGGGAUUAAGAACUUGGUCUUGCAUUAUUUCUGGUUUUUAUUCUUUUUGUACUCAUUAAAUAUUAGAUUGGUGUAAACUAAUUGUUGAAUCUUGUAUAAGAAUUAAAUUAAAAUUCAGAUUCUAAUCUUGUGGAGAA